rnacentral:rRNA from 1 species
GACGAACGCUGGCGGCGUGCUUAACACAUGCAAGUCGAACGGAAAGGCCCUGCUUUUGUGGGGUGCUCGAGUGGCGAACGGGUGAGUAACACGUGAGUAACCUGCGCUUGACUUUGGGAUAACUUCAGGAAACUGGGGCUAAUACCGGAUAGGAGCUCCUGCUGCAUGGUGGGGGUUGGAAAGUUUCGGCGGUUGGGGAUGGACUCGCGGCUUAUCAGCUUGUUGGUGGGGUAGUGGCUUACCAAGGCUUUGACGGGUAGCCGGCCUGAGAGGGUGACCAGCCACAUUGGGACUGCGAUACGGACCAGACUCCUACGGGAGGCAGCAGUGGGGAAUAUUGCACAAUGGGCGGAAGCCUGAUGCAGCAACGCCGCGUGCGGGAUGACGGCCUUCGGGUUGUAAACCGCUUUCGCCUGUGACGAAGCGUGAGUGACGGUAAUGGGUAAAGAAGCACCGGCUAACUACGUG